rnacentral:rRNA from 1 species
GAUCAUGGCUCAGGAUAAACGCUGACAGAAUGCUUAACACAUGCAAGUCUACUUGAAUUUGGGUCCUAGACUUAGAUUUGGGUGGCGGACGGGUGAGUAACGCGUAAAGAACUUGCCUCACAGUUAGGGACAACAUUUGGAAACGAAUGCUAAUACCUGAUAUUAUGAUUAUACGGCAUCGUAUAAUUAUGAAAGCUAUAUGCGCUGUGAGAGAGCUUUGCGUCCCAUUAG